rnacentral:rRNA from 1 species
CAAGUCGUACGCUGAUUUCAGGGUAGCAAUAUUCUGGAGUCGGAGUGGCGCAAGGGUGCGUAACACGUGGGUAAUUUGCCGUGAAGUUGGGGAUAACUCGCUGAAAGGCGAGCUAAUACCGAACGUGAAAAUUGGAAGGCAUCUUUUGAUUUUCAAAGUUGGGGACCGCAAGGCCUGACGCUUCACGAUAAGCCCGCGGCCUAUCAGCUAGUUGGUGAGGUAACGGCUCACCAAGGCUAAGACGGGUAGCUGGUCUGAGAGGACGACCAGUCACACUGGAACUGAGACACGGUCCAGACACCUACGGGUGGCAGCAGUCGAGAAUUUUUCUCAAUGGGCGAAAGCCUGAAGGAGCGACGCCGCGUGGGGGAUGAAGGGCUUCGGCUCGUAAACCCCUGUCAUUUGCGAACAAACCCCGCGACCCAACACGUCGCGGGCUGAUAGUAGCGAAAGAGGAAGGGACGGCUAACUCUGUGCCAGCAGCCGCGGUAAUACAGAGGUCCCAAGCGUUGUUCGGAUUCACUGGGCGUAAAGGGUGCGUAGGUGGCGGGGUAAGUUUGAUGUGAAAUCUCCGGGCUUAACCCGGAAAUGGCAUUGAAUACUAUUCUGCUGGAGGGUUGGAGGGGAGACUGGAAUUCUCGGUGUAGCAGUGAAAUGCGUAGAUAUCGAGAGGAACACCAGUGGCGAAGGCGAGUCUCUGGACAACUCCUGACACUGAGGCACGAAAGCUAGGGGAGCAAACAGGAUUAGAUACCCUGGUAGUCCUAGCUGUAAACGGUGCAUAUUUGCUGUAAAAGGAAUCGACCCCUUUUGUGGCGUAGCCAACGCGUUAAAUAUGCCGCCUGGGAAGUAC